rnacentral:rRNA from 1 species
AUACGUAGGGGGCGAGCGUUGUCCGGAAUGAUUGGGCGUAAAGGGCGCGUAGGCGGCCCGGUAAGUCUGGAGUGAAAGUCCUGUUUUUAAGAUGGGAAUUGCUUUGGAUACUGUCGGGCUUGAGUGCAGGAGAGGUAAGUGGAAUUCCCAGUGUAGGGGUGAAAUGCGUAGAGAUUGGGAGGAACACCAGUGGCGAAGGCGACUUACUGGACUGUAACUGACGCUGAGGCGCGAAAGUGUGGGGAGCAAACAGGAUUAGAUACCCUGGUAGUCCACACUGUAAACGAUGAAUGCUAGGUGUAGGGGGUAUCGACCCCUUCUGUGCCGCAGUCAACACAAUAAGUAUUCCACCUGGGGAGUACGAUCGCAAGAUUGAAACUCAAAGGAAUUGACGGGG